rnacentral:misc_RNA from 1 species
GAUGAAGAACGCAGCGAAAUGCGAUAAGUAAUGUGAAUUGCAGAAUUCAGUGAAUCAUCGAAUCUUUGAACGCACCUUGCGCCCUUUGGCCAUUCCGAAGGGCAUGCCUGUUUGAGUAUCAUGAACACCUCAACUCUUUAUGGUUUUCCAUGAUGAGCUUGGACUCUGGGGGUUUUGCUGGCUCACAGUCGGCUCCUCUAAAAUGAAUCAGCUUACCAGUGUUUGGUGGGUAUCAUGGGUGUGAUAACUAUCUACGCUUGUGGUUUUUCCACCAGGUAACCUUCAGCAGUGGAGGUUCGCUGGAGCUCAUAGAUGUCUCUCCUCAGUGAGGACAGCCCUUUGAAUGUUUGAUCUCAAAUCAGGCAGGACUACCCGCUGAACUUAAGCAUAUCAAUAAGCGGAGGA